GUAUACGUCUACAAUAUAAAAGAAGGAAAUGAAUUCAAUAUAUCAUGUUUGCAUUUCAUGCAAUUAGUAGAUAUACACCUACCAAAAUGAAAUGAAAAAAAAAUAUAUUGACGAAUCCAUAUCAGCUCAAUAACAGCUCAGUUUUGAGUUGUUCUCAUGAUGGAGAUGAUGAUGACAAAAACUAAUACAGAGAUAAGGGACAUUCAGUGCUUGUGUAACCAAAUUAACAGAGCUAAAAAAGCAUAGGAAAUUGAAAAGAUUGCUAAAAGAAGGAAACAGAAUCAUGGAGAUAGAAGUAAGAAGAAGAAGAAAACAAAGGCUCGGCCAGGGUAUGGAGAAAAGACAGAAAGGAAAAGGUUCUUUCAACCAAAUCUGAACCUUUUUCAUCUUCAUAGAACUAUUAAAUUUCCACGAGUCUUUUCUAUAGAGAGAAAAGGCAUGUUGGACUCCAAUGUUUAAUCAUUUUAAGUGUGUUCGAUAAUGGCUUUUUGUCCAACACUUAAUACAUGAAGCACAUUUGGUCAUGCAAACCACUUGUACACUUUAUCAUUAAAAUUACUAGCAGCAGCACUUCUACCACCACCCAAAUUCCAAUAGCACCUCUACCACAUAAUGCACGAAGGAUAAUAAAUGAAAAGGAAACCUAUUAAGAGUUGCAUCCCCACUUAAUAACCAGCAUCUUAUAAAAGCAACAACAGCAAAGCAAUACAGAGUAAAAAUACACUAGCAAGAAAUUAUUAGUAAUCAACACUAAGAACUAAACAGGAGCUACGAUUCAACUUUCAAAAAAAAGCAAAAACAAAAGGGAAAAUUUUUU
rnacentral:misc_RNA from 1 species